rnacentral:rRNA from 1 species
CCUACGGGAGACAGCAGUGAGGAAUAUUGGUCAAUGGGCUUACGCCUGAACCAGCCAAGUCGCGUGAGGGAAGACUGCCCUAUGGGUUGUAAACUUCUUUUAUAAAGGAAUAAAACGAGGCACGUGUGCCUUUUUGCAUGUACUUUAUGAAUAAGGAUCGGCUAACUCCGUGCCAGCAGCCGCGGUAAUACGGAGGAUCCGAGCGUUAUCCGGAUUUAUUGGGUUUAAAGGGAGCGUAGAUGGGUUGUUAAGUCAGUUGUGAAAGUUUGCGGCUCAACCGUAAAAUUGCAAUUGAUACUGGCAGUCUUGAGUACAGUUGAGGUAGGCGGAAUUCGUGGUGUAGCGGUGAAAUGCUUAGAUAUCACGAAGAACCCCGAUUGCGAAGGCAGCUUACUAAACUGUGACUGACAUUGAUGCUCGAAAGUGUGGGUAUCAAACAGGAUUAGAUACCCUUGUAGUC